UGGGGAAUAUUGCACAAUGGGCGCAAGCCUGAUGCAGCCAUGCCGCGUGUAUGAAGAAGGCCUUCGGGUUGUAAAGUACUUUCAGCGGGGAGGAAGGGAGUAAAGUUAACACCUUUGCUCAUUGACGUUACCCGCAGAAGAAGCACCGGCUAACUCCGUGCCAGCAGCCGCGGUAAUACGGAGGGUGCAAGCGUUAAUCGGAAUUACUGGGCGUAAAGCGCACGCAGGCGGUUUGUUAAGUCAGAUGUGAAAUCCCCGGGCUCAACCUGGGAACUGCAUCUGAUACUGGCAAGCUUGAGUCUCGUAGAGGGGGGUAGAAUUCCAUGUGUAGCGGUGAAAUGCGUAGAGAUGUGGAGGAAUACCGGUGGCGAAGGCGGCCCCCUGGACAAAGACUGACGCUCAGGUGCGAAAGCGUGGGGAGCAAACAGG
rnacentral:rRNA from 1 species